GGGGCGAUAGCUCAGCCUGGGAGAGCACUACGCUGAAGACGUAGGUGUCCUGGAUUCAAAUUCCAGUCGCCCCA
rnacentral:tRNA from 1 species